UGACUGACUUUGGGCAUGCCCUGUGCUCACCUGGCAGGUGAUGGCGUGGGCAGGAAGUGCACAGCCUGCCUUUACCUUACGUGAACACUGUUUCUGGGCAAUGGGCAAAGAACUGAAGAGGACAAGCUAGAAAAGGGCUCCUUGUCUGUCUCUAUAAACCUCGUGUGUGUACAUCUUAGCGAGCCCAUAGACAAAAAAGGCAAAGAAGCAGAGACCAAGAGGGAGCGCCUAAGAGGCACAGAAAAAGAAAGCCACAGAGACAGAGAGAUGGAGAGACAUACAGACAGCGGAGAGCCAAGGCACAGGGGAAGGGGCAGGCGGAGGCAAGCACUUCCUGGUGAACUCGGUCCCCUGUGUGAUUGGCUGCUCCUAGAGAACAGUUUCCCUGGCUGCAGUUGCUGUGCAACUGCUUCCUGCAAUUAACUGACUGUAUUGACUUUGUCUGCUUCUCCCCCUCCCUUAACCUCUUGUUUGCCGAGCCAUCUGAGGAGCCACACCUUCGACUGGAAGAGAGGUCAUUUCCAGAGCAUUGUAUGGGCCUAUGCACACAUACACAAGUAACCAAGACUUGACACAACCAGCCCGUCUCUGCAAUGAGAAGCGAAGAGGGAGAAAACUCAGGGAAGACACGGCUUUAGGUCCUUCAUAGCGGACACGUGUGCAUCUCAAAGUGCAAAGCCCCACUGGGAAACACCAGUUUGGGGAUCAUGAUUUUAUGUAGUGGUUACGGUUCUAAGGAUUGGAUCAAAUCAGCUCACCUGCUCCACCUUGCUCAUUUCUCUCAGCAAAUCCGAUGACUCAGAAGGAACCCUUCACCAACUGCCCAUUCCCGCAUGCCAACCCACAGAGCUACCUCCAAGCUUGCUCCACCCACCUUCUGUCACCACCUUCCCUUUUCUUGUCUCAAAAGUCAUCAUGAAAAUGUAAAUGUUGCCACAAUUUGUUGGAAAAAUAACAAAAUUACAGUAUGUGAAAGAGUAUCUUGAAAAUUGAA